UGAAUACAUAGGUUAACGAGGCGAACCGGGGGAACUGAAACAUCUAAGUACCCCGAGGAAAAGAAAUCAACCGAGAUUCCCCCAGUAGCGGCGAGCGAACGGGGAGCAGCCCAGAGUCUGAAUCAGCUUGUGUGUUAGUGGAACGGUCUGGAAAGUCCGACGGUACAGGGUGAUAGUCCCGUACACCAAAAUGCACAGGCUGUGAACUCGAAGAGUAGGGCGGGACACGUGGUAUCCUGUCUGAAUAUGGGGGGACCAUCCUCCAAGGCUAAAUACUCCUGACUGACCGAUAGUGAACCAGUACCGUGAGGGAAAGGCGAAAAGAACCCCGGCGAGGGGAGUGAAAAAGAACCUGAAACCGUGUACGUACAAGCAGUGGGAGCACCUUCGGGUGUGACUGCGUACCUUUUGUAUAAUGGGUCAGCGACUUAUAUUCUGUAGCAAGGUUAACCGUAUAGGGGAGCCGCAGGGAAACCGAGUCUUAACUGGGCGUUAAGUUGCAGGGUAUAGACCCGAAACCCGGUGAUCUAGCCAUGGGCAGGUUGAAGGUUGGGUAACACUAACUGGAGGACCGAACCGACUAAUGUUGAAAAAUUAGCGGAUGACUUGUGGCUGGGGGUGAAAGGCCAAUCAAACCGGGAGAUAGCUGGUUCUCCCCGAAAGCU
rnacentral:rRNA from 1 species